GAUGAACGCUGGCGGCGUACCUAAUACAUGCAAGUCGAGCGAACAGACGAGGAGCUUGCUCCUCUGACGUUAGCGGCGGACGGGUGAGUAACACGUGGAUAACCUACCUAUAAGACUGGGAUAACUUCGGGAAACCGGAGCUAAUACCGGAUAAUAUAUUGAACCGCAUGGUUCAAUAGUGAAAGACGGUUUUGCUGUCACUUAUAGAUGGAUCCGCGCCGCAUUAGCUAGUUGGUAAGGUAACGGCUUACCAAGGCAACGAUGCGUAGCCGACCUGAGAGGGUGAUCGGCCACACUGGAACUGAGACACGGUCCAGACUCCUACGGGAGGCAGCAGUAGGGAAUCUUCCGCAAUGGGCGAAAGCUUGACGGAGCAACGCCGCGUGAGUGAUGAAGGUCUUCGGAUCGUAAAACUCUGUUAUUAGGGAAGAACAAAUGUGUAAGUAACUAUGCACGUCUUGACGGUACCUAAUCAGAAAGCCACGGCUAACUACGU
rnacentral:rRNA from 1 species